rnacentral:rRNA from 1 species
GUCUACGGCCAUGCCACCCUGAACGAGCCCGAUCUCGUCUGAUCUUGGAAGCUAAGCAGGGUCGGGCCUGGUUAGUACUUGGAUGGGAGACCACCUAGGAAGACCAGGUGCUAUAGGUG